rnacentral:misc_RNA from 1 species
ACACCUCAACUCUCAUGGUUUGCCAUGAUGAGCUUGGACUUUGGGGGUCUUGCUGGCCUGUGGUCAGCUCCUCUCAAAUGCAUCAGCUUUCCGGUGUUUGGUGGCAUCACGGGUGUGAUAACUAUCUACGCUUGUGGUGUUCCACCAGGCAACCUUCAGCAAUGGGGGUUCACUGGGGCUCAUAAACGUCUCCUUGGUGGGGACAGCUUUGUGAAU